rnacentral:rRNA from 1 species
GUGGGGAAUAUUGGGCAAUGGGCGAAAGCCUGACCCAGCAACGCCGCGUGAAGGAAGAAGGUCUUCGGAUCGUAAACUUCUAUCCUUGGUGAAGAUAAUGACGGUAGCCGAGAAGGAAGCCCCGGCUAACUACGUGCCAGCAGCCGCGGUAAUACGUAGGGGGCAAGCGUUGUCCGGAAUGAUUGUGCGUAAAGGGCGCGUAGGCGGCCUGGUAAGUCUGGAGUGAAAGUCCUGCUUUUAAGGUGGGAAUUGCUUUGGAUACUGUCGGGCUUGAGUGCAUGAGAGGUAAGUGGAAUUCCCGGUGUAGCGGUGAAAUGCGUAGAGAUCGGGAGGAACACCAGUGGCGAAGGCGACUUACUGGACUGUAACUGACGCUGAGGCGCGAAAGUGUGGGGAGCAAACAGGAUUAGAUACCCGAGUAGUCC